GAUGAACGCUGGCGGCGUGCCUAAUACAUGCAAGUCGAGCGAACAGACGAGGAGCUUGCUCCUCUGACGUUAGCGGCGGACGGGUGAGUAACACGUGGAUAACCUACCUAUAAGACUGGGAUAACUUCGGGAAACCGGAGCUAAUACCGGAUAAUAUAUUUAACCGCAUGGUUCAAUAGUGAAAGACGGUUUUGCUGUCACUUAUAGAUGGAUCCGCGCCGCAUUAGCUAGUUGGUAAGGUAACGGCUUACCAAGGCAACGAUGCGUAGCCGACCUGAGAGGGUGAUCGGCCACACUGGAACUGAGACACGGUCCAGACUCCUACGGGAGGCAGCAGUAGGGAAUCUUCCGCAAUGGGCGAAAGCUUGACGGAGCAACGCCGCGUGAGUGAUGAAGGUCUUCGGAUCGUAAAACUCUGUUAUUAGGGAAGAACAAAUGUGUAAGUAACUAUGCACGUCUUGACGGUACCUAAUCAGAAAGCAACGGCUAACUACGUG
rnacentral:rRNA from 1 species